UAGCCAAGGAUGGAUUGAUUAGCUUAUCU
rnacentral:piRNA from 1 species